rnacentral:rRNA from 1 species
AUUGAACGCUGGCGGCAUGCCUUACACAUGCAAGUCGAACGGUAACAGGUCUUCGGAUGCUGACGAGUGGCGAACGGGUGAGUAAUACAUCGGAACGUGCCCGAUCGUGGGGGAUAACGCAGCGAAAGCUGUGCUAAUACCGCAUACGAUCUACGGAUGAAAGCGGGGGAUCGCAAGACCUCGCGCGGACGGAGCGGCCGAUGGCAGAUUAGGUAGUUGGUGGGAUAAAAGCUUACCAAGCCGACGAUCUGUAGCUGGUCUGAGAGGACGACCAGCCACACUGGGACUGAGACACGGCCCAGACUCCUACGGGAGGCAGCAGUGGGGAAUAUUGGACAAUGGGCGCAAGCCUGAUCCAGCCAUGCCGCGUGCAGGAUGAAGGCCUUCGGGUUGUAAACUGCUUUUGUACGGAACGAAAAAGCUCUCUCUAAUACAGGGGGUGAAUGACGGUACCGUAAGAAUAAGCACCGGCUAACUACGUG